GCCCAGACAGCUAGGAGGUUGGCUUAGAAGCAGCCAUCCUUUAAAGAAAGCGUAACAGCUCACUAGUCAAGGGGUUCUGCGCCGAUAAUUUCCGGGACUAAGUAUUAUACCGAAGCUAUGGGAUUCAUUCUUGUGAAUGGAUCGGUAGACGAGCGUUCUAUUAACCUGUGAAGGUUGACCCGCGAGGGCAGCUGGAGGAGAUAGAAAUGAGUAUGCUGGAAUGAGUAGCGAUAAAGCCUGUGAAAUGCAGGCUCGCCGAAAGCGUAAGGUUUCCUGAGUAAAGUUAAUCUGCUCAGGGUUAGUCGGACCCUAAGCCGAGGCCGAAAGGCGUAGGCGAUGGAAAACAGGUUUAAUAUUCCUGUACCAGUUUAAUAUUGUUUGAACUAUGGGGGGACGCAGAAGUGAAAGGAGAUCCCGGUUUUGAUUGUCCGGGUUUAAGAGUGUAGGGAGUUUUGGUAGGUAAAUCCGCUAAAACAAUUCUGAGACUCGAAUAGGAGGGCCUAGCCCAUAAACUCUCCCUAAUCAUGCUGCCAAGAAAAUCCUCUAUGUGAGAUAUUAGACUGCCCGUACCGUAAACGGACACACGUACGCGAGGAGAGAAUCCUAAGGCGCUUGAGAGAAUCCAAGUAAAGGAACUCGGCAAAUUAGCCCCGUAACUUCGGGAGAAGGGGUGCCACUUGAGGAAAAGGACUUCGCGUCCUGCUUUUCGAGUGGUCGCAGUGACAAGGCCCAAGCGACUGUUUACUAAAAACACAGGUCUCUGCUAAGUCGUAAGACGAAAUAUAGGGACUGACACCUGCCCGGUGCUGGAAGGUCAAAUGGAGAGGUUAGCUCCGCUUGCGGAGCGAAGCUUUGAAAUGAAGCCCCAGUAAACGGCGGCCGUAACUAUAACGGUCCUAAGGUAGCGAAAUUCCUUGUCGGGUAAGUUCCGACCUGCACGAAUGGUGUAACGAUUUGGGCACUGUCUCUACUUGGAGCUCAGCGAAAUUGAAGUGUCGGUGAAGAUGCCGGCUACCCGCGGCCGGACGAAAAGACCCCGUGAACCUUUACUACAACUUAGCAUUGGAUAUUGAUUCUGCAUGUGCAGGAUAGGUGGGAGGCUUUGAAGCGGAGACGCUAGUCUUCGUGGAGCCAUCCUUGAAAUACCACCCUUGUAUUGUUAGUAUUCUAAUCCCAUCCCGUGAAUCCGGGUGAGAGACAGUGUUAGGUGGGUAGUUUGACUGGGGCGGUCUCCUCCUAAAAGGUAACGGAGGAACCCAAAGGUUCCCUCAGCACGGUCGGUAAUCGUGCGUAGAGCGCAAAGGCAUAAGGGAGCUUGACUGUGAGGUCGACGGACCGAGCAGGUACGAAAGUAGGGCUUAGUGAUCUGGUGGUUCCGCAUGGAAGGGCCAUCACUCAAUGGAUAAAAGGUACUCCGGGGAUAACAGGCUUAUCUCCCCCAAGAGUUCAUAUCGACGGGGAGGUUUGGCACCUCGAUGUCGGCUCAUCACAUCCUGGGGCUGGAGAAGGUCCCAAGGGUUGGGCUGUUCGCCCAUUAAAGUGGUACGUGAGCUGGGUUUAGAACGUCGUGAGACAGUUCGGUCUCUAUCCGCCGUGGGCGCAGGAGAAUUGAAGGAAUCUGCUUCUAGUACGAGAGGACCGAAGUGGACGAACCUCUGGUGCACCAGUUGUUUCAUCAGAAGCAUCGCUGGGUAGCUAUGUUCGGAAAGGAUAAGCGCUGAAAGCAUAUAAGUGCGAAACCUGUCCUAAGAUUAGUUCUCCCUAUCGUUUGAUAAUAAGGCUCGUUGUAGACUACGACGUUGAUAGGCCACAAGUGUACGUGCAGUAAUGCAUUUAGCUGAGUGGUACUAAUUAGCCGAAUGGCUUUAUCAA
rnacentral:rRNA from 1 species